UACGGAGGGUGCGAGCGUUGUCCGGAAUCACUGGGCGUAAAGGGCGCGUAGGCGGCCUGAUAAGUAGGGGGUGAAAUCCUGCGGCUUAACCGCAGGGCUGCCUUCUAAACUGUCAGGCUGGAGCACAGUAGAGGCAGGUGGAAUUCCCGGUGUAGCGGUGGAAUGCGUAGAGAUCGGGAAGAACAUCAGUGGCGAAGGCGGCCUGCUGGGCUGUUGCUGACGCUGAGGAACGAAAGCUAGGGGAGCAAAUGGG
rnacentral:rRNA from 1 species